CUCCUCUUUUUAAAAAUGUGAAUGAUAUACUUCAGCUGCAGAAAUUUCAGCAGUGGUUGGGUAUGGGGUAUUAGCUGCAUACCUCUGCACUGAAUCCCACUACUUCUGUUGCAUCAGACAAACUGAGAGUUUAUUUUCUCUUUUUGCAGAGAAGGACCAUGGUUUGCUCUCUUGCUUUUACUUAACUGGCCAACAGGUGAAUCCUGAGUGAACAGGUCAGCUCAGGAACAAGAAGGAUCUAAAGAGAUCAACGUAACAGUGACUCUGCCCUUCCUGUUGGUGUUGAGAUUAUCAGCCUGUGAGUAUUGUUCCUUCUUUCUUCUGACUUGCGUUCUCUUGAAGUCGAUUACCUGUUGGAAAAUCUGUUCAUGCCACCAAGCCGAUCCAAGUUCAACAGCUAGAAAUAAUGAAGCAAUGAUAUAUAGCACAAAACGGUAAGUUUUUCAUAAU
rnacentral:lncRNA from 1 species